rnacentral:rRNA from 1 species
AGAGUUUGAUCAUGGCUCAGGAUGAACGCUAGCGGCAGGCUUAAUACAUGCAAGUCGAGGGGCAGCACGGUUAGCAAUAACUGGUGGCGACCGGCGCACGGGUGCGUAACACGUAUACAAUCUUCCUUAAACAGGGGGAUAGCCUUUCGAAAGAGAGAUUAAUACCCCGUAAUAAAUUGAACGGCAUCGUUUGAUUUUGAAAGCUCCGGCGGUUUGAGAUGAGUAUGCGUCUGAUUAGCUAGUUGGUGAGGUAACGGCUCACCAAGGCGACGAUCAGUAGGGGAUCUGAGAGGACUAACCCCCACACUGGUACUGAGACACGGACCAGACUCCUACGGGAGGCAGCAGUAAGGAAUAUUGGUCAAUGGAGGCAACUCUGAACCAGCCAUGCCGCGUGCAGGAUGACGGCCCUAUGGGUUGUAAACUGCUUUUAUACAAGAGAAAACCCUGGUACGUGUACCAGGUUGAUAGUAUUGUAAGAAUAAGCAUCGGCUAACUUCGUG